AAACGUUUUUUUGUCAUUAAAUCACUCCUCAGCACUGCACCUGUGCCGGCAGCCCUGGCUGGACAGGCCAUUCCAACUUCAGAUGGGUGCUGGGGCAGUGCUGCAGCAGGCUGAUGGUAACAUCCAGCGACACCAGUAUUGUUUCACCCCUGGAUCAUUGAGUAAUGUUCUGUUUUUGUGUCCUCUGUUCCUCUUGUUCCCUUUUCUCCUGUUAUCGUUUCCUUAAAUAUGCUUUCCAAGGUACCUGGAUUGCCGGUGGAGCAGGAGUAGAGUUGCAGAGCAAGGAGUGGGCCCAUUGGUGGUUGGACUAAUGGGUGGUGCUAUAAGAUCACCUGGAGGAAUGGACGCUCGCUCUCUUCUUCUCUCUUGACUUGGCUCUGCUCUCUGCACUCGAUGGCUGCUCCACUGGGGAGAGCCUCAGCCCGUCAGCGCUUCACACCGACGUCGCGUUUUACACUCUUUGUUUGAUCACCCCUAGACACUUUGCAUUACACUUUUCUUUAUCAUAUACUGACUUUACUCUUUUAAUGUU